UAUCUCUGUAGAGUCUGCAUAUCAAUAGCGGAGGAAAAGAAACUAACAAGGAUUCCCUUAGUAACGGCGAGUGAAGCGGGAAGAGCUCAAAUUUGAAAUCUUCAAGGUUCUACCUUGACGAAUUGUAGUUUAAAGAAGUGUUUUCUGUUAGAUGAGUAGCAAAAGUUCCUUGGAAUGGGACAUCAUAGAGGGUGAGAAUCCCGUAUUUGGUUAUUCAUUCUAGCUUUGUGAUACACUUUCAAAGAGUCGGAUUGUUUGGGAAUGCAGUCCAAAAUGGGUGGUAAAUUUCAUCUAAAGCUAAAUAUUGGCGAGAGACCGAUAGCGAACAAGUACUGUGAGGGAAAGAUGAAAAGAACUUUGAAAAGAGAGUUAAACAGUACGUGAAAUUGUCAAAAGGGAAGCGUUUGACACCAGUGUUGUUUUUCCGAAAAUCAAUUACGAAUGGCUUGAUUGCUAGUUGUAUUGACUUAUCAGCUUUCUGCUUAUUUUUCGAUGUCUUUGUUAAUGCACUUUUCGGUUAACAAGUCAACAUCAAUUUCUUUUGCUGUAAAAGAGUAUAGGAAGGUGGCUUACUUUCGGUUAGAAGUGUUUAUAGCCUUAUACCUCUACAAUCGGAGAGAUUGAGGUCUGCAGCGUAGACUCUUCGGGGUUAGAUACACUUGUGCUAAGUUAGUAGCUUUUCAUAGACAACUUGUUGACUAUGUUUAGUCAUUGUAGGCUUACUCGCUUAGUGCUAUUUUACCUACGCUUAGGAUGUUGAAGACUCUACAGAGAUA
rnacentral:rRNA from 1 species